GAUGAACGCUGGCGGCGUGCCUAACACAUGCAAGUCGAACGAACCUGAUCUUCGGAAAAGGUUAGUGGCGCACGGGUGAGUAACACGUAGGUGACCUGCCCUGGAGUGGGGGAUAACUUCUCGAAAGAGAGGCUAAUACCGCAUACGCUCGGCCAUUCAGUUGGUCGAGUAAAGCUCCGGCGCUCCAGGAGGGGCCUGCGUCCGUUUAGCUAGGUGGUGAGGUAAUGGCUCACCAAGGCGAUGAUCGGUAGCUGGUCUGAGAGGACGAUAGACCACACUGGCACUGAAACACGGGCCAGACUCCUACGGGAGGCAGCAGUGAGGAAUAUUGGUCAAUGGGCGAAAGCCUGAACCAGCAACGCCGCGUGAGGGAUGAAGGCCUUCGGGUCGUAAACCUCUUUUCUGGGAGAAGAGACAAGGACGGUAUCCCAGGAAUAAGUCUCGGCUAACUACGUGCCAGCAGCAGCCGCGGUAA
rnacentral:rRNA from 1 species